AAAAAAAAAAAAAAAGGUGAAGGACGAACCACAGAGAAGAUCCGCGAGGUUGUCUGCUAAACCUGCUCCUCCAAAGCCAGAGCCCAAGCCUAAAAAGGCCCCUGCAAAGAAGGGAGAGAAGGUACCCAAAGGGAAAAAGGGAAAAGCUGAUGCUGGCAAGGAGGGGAAUAACCCUGCAGAAAAUGGAGAUGCCAAAACAGACCAGGCACAGAAAGCUGAAGGUGCUGGAGAUGCCAAGUGAAGUGUGUGCAUUUUUGAUAACUGUGUAUUUCUGGUGACUGUACAGUUUGAAAUACUUUUAUCAAGUUUUAUAAAAAUGCAGAAUUUUGUUUUACUUUUUUUUUUUUUUUUUUAAGCUAUGUUGUUCGCACACAGAACACUUCAUUGUUGUUUUUGGGGGAAGGGGCAUAUGUCACUAAUAGAAUGUCUCCAAAACUGGAUUGAUGUGGAGAAAACACCUUUCCCUUCCAGUUUUGAGAGACUUCCUCUUGGCUCCCAGGAGGAGGGAUUCCUUGACUUUGACACACAUGGCCACCUUGGCACAAAAGCCUUGUGCUAUGGAAAAACAAAUUUGUUUUUAUGUCCUCUUCUCCCUUUCCACGUUUCAGCAUAGACUUAACUCCCUUAAGCCCAGACAUCUGUUGAGACCUGACCCCUAGUCAUUGGUUACCAGUGUGUCAGGCAAUCUGGACUUUCCAGUGAUGCCACUGAGAUGGCACCUGUCAAAAGAGCAGUGGUUCCAUUUCUAGAUUGUGGAUCUUCAGAUAAAUUCUGCCAUUUUCGUUUCACUUCCUGAAAGUCAGGGUUGGCUUGUGAAAAGUUGUUAAACAACAUGCUAAAUGUGAAAUGUCAACCCUCACUCUCAACUUUCCCUGUUCAGAGCAUCAGAUGAAGACUUCAUUGGGUUUUAUAGUGGCUUUCUGAUUUUUGGUAGUCCAUUGAAGAAGGGAGUUUGAAAGUUGUUGUAUACUGUUAACGAUUGUCUGCCCAUGUCCUGCCUGAAAUACCAUGAUUGUUUAUGGAAAGUAUCUUUAAUAAAGCUGGAUACAGUUUGGCUUGGAAAAAAAAAAAAGAAAGUAAAUAAAACAAGGAUCUGUAAGCAAAACGUAUUUGGCAUACAAAGCACUGCAGCCUCAAUACUUAUACUUACUAUCUUAUUAUAAAUGUCUGCAAUAACAACAGCUGAUAAUAUUAGCAAUGUUUUAUUACCCUUUUUAACUAUUUGUGUAUUUGUCAGUUUAAUGACUAAAAGAGCUGGAAUGGAGCAAGAAAGGGCUGUGGUCAAAGCCGAGUCUUGUCACUUGUUCACUGAGGGCCACCAGGAAGUUUAGACUGAAGAAACUGGAAAGGAUCCACGCAAUGACCAUCCAAGUCUCAGGCUACUCAACUG
rnacentral:lncRNA from 1 species